rnacentral:ribozyme from 1 species
AAUCUGAACAGCGUCGGUCGGAGUUUCUGACUCUUGAAUAUGAAGAGUCA